GACGAACGCUGACGGCAUGCUUAACACAUGCAUGUCGAAGGGAGAGGCGAACGGGUGAGUAACCCGUGAGUAACCUGCCCUUUUCUUUGGGAUAAUCCUGGGAAACUGGAUCUAAUACUGGAUGGGUUGGGAUGGGCUCGCGGCUUAUCGGCUUGGGGGUGGGGUGAUGGCUUACCAAGGCUUUGACGGGUAGCCGUCCUGAGAGGGUGGUCUGUCAACCUCGGGCUGAGAUACGGCGCAGGGUACUACGGGAGGAAGCAGUGGGGGCUAUUGCACAAUGGACGAAAGGAGGAUGCAGGGUCGGCGUGUGGGGGAAGCAGGCCAUCGGGUUGUAAACUCCUGUCGGCCGGGGAAUGGUAGUGGGUAAAGAAGCGCCGGCUAACUACGUGCCAGCAGCCGCGGUAAUAC
rnacentral:rRNA from 1 species